UACGUAGGGUGCGAGCGUUAAUCGGAAUUACUGGGCGUAAAGCGUGCGCAGGCGGUUUUGUAAGCCAGAUGUGAAAGCCCCCGGCUCAACUGGGGAGGGUCAUUCGAUACUGAUCGACUCGAAGGCAGGAGAGGGUAGUGGAAUUCCCGGUGUAGUGGUGAAAUGCGUAGAUAUCGGGAGGAACACCAGUGGCGAAGGCGACUACCUGGCCUGUUCUUGACGCUGAGGCGCGAAAGCUAGGGGAGCAAACGGG
rnacentral:rRNA from 1 species